UGCAUCUGCCGGGAAUCGAACCUGGGCCGCCCGCGUGGCAGGCGAGUAUUCUACCACUGAACCACC
rnacentral:tRNA from 1 species